rnacentral:rRNA from 1 species
UACGAAGGGGGCUAGCGUUGUUCGGAUUUACUGGGCGUAAAGGGCGUGUAGGCGGAUUUUUAAGUCAGGGGUGAAAUCCCAAGGCUCAACCUUGGAACUGCCUUUGAUACUGGGGAUCUUGAGUCCGGGAGAGGUGAGUGGAACUGCGAGUGUAGAGGUGAAAUUCGUAGAUAUUCGCAAGAACACCAGUGGCGAAGGCGGCUCACUGGCCCGGAACUGACGCUGAGGCGCGAAAGCGUGGGGAGCAAACAGG